UACGUAGGCAGCGAGCGUUGUUCGGAAUUACUGGGCGUAAAGAGUGUGUAGGCGGUGUUCCCAGUCUGUUGUGAAAUCUCCCGGCUUAACUGGGAGGGUGCAGCGGAAACUAGAAGUGCUAGAGGGUGGGAGAGGUAAGCGGAAUUCCUGGUGUAGCGGUGAAAUGCGUAGAUAUCAGGAGGAACACCUGUGGUGUAGACAGCUUACUGGACCACUUCUGACGCUGAGACACGAAAGCGUGGGUAGCAAACAGG
rnacentral:rRNA from 1 species